ACAGUUACAUCAGCACAUAGUAAGAUUAAACUGUUUAAAUGACUAGGUAAAAGCUUCCCAUGCUUGCACAACAAUAUUUCCAGCAGUGUUUCCCAUGUUCAUCACAUAAAUAAGGAAAAAUUAUACCUUAGAUAUUGUGAAAGCUUUACAACUCGUAAAUACUUACUUGUCUGCUAUUAAAUACAAUGAUAUGUAAGCUUAAGGCUGCAAUACCCACAGCAGUCAUUUUCAAAUCAAAUCUAAAUGUUAAAUAUGCCUUUAUAGUUAUUCAUUUGCUUAGACACUCGGCCUCUGUGGAUGCAUUCUGAGUCAUUUUCUAUACAGGAAACACUGCAAAUGCUGAGGCAGUGUUCUGAAAGGUAACGUGUCCAAGGAGCAAAGAGCCAUCUUGUGACUCCCAGUCAGUUUUAGCUUUCCCUCUGAACAGAAAAUGGAAACAGAAAAAUGAAGUCUUCUGGGAGUUGCAGUUCAUUCUACUCUUCUGAGACCAAGAGACCAGAAAUAUCGACAAUUCUUGGAACCUACAUUAUUAACCUUCUAACUGCCAGUACACUACAGGAUAUUAUGAUAUGGAAUACCAAUCAAAAAUCAGAAAACCACAACAAAUUGCUGCUCAGUUGCCUGUGUGAAAGACAACGGAUCAGUAAGUGAUGGGUCUUGGAUUGUUCUGCUGAAUCUGCAGAUCAAUAUAGCCAAGCUAGGAUAGCCAGGACCCAACACAUUUGAGAUAGUAUCUAUAAGAUACCCUUAUAAGCUUAAGGAUUUUUUUGUGUGUAAUACAUGACCAACCAGGUUGUGUGGUUACAUGAAUAAACUGGUGAUGCUGUCAAUCUUCCUAGACAGAAUAAGCUGUGUUUUGUAUCCUGAAGGUUUAGUGCUAACGUCAACCUGGGAAGUGGGUGGCUAGUUCACUGUAAAGUCACUCUUGACUUCUCCCUUUGCUGUGUUCCCUGGGCAGAUAAGUCCCUACCACCAGAACUCUGUUCCUGCAGUUUACACAUUUCUUCAGACUUGCUGCGGCCUUAAGUAUAUAGCAGUGUAUUUCUGCGUGUACAAUCAGUGUACUACUGUUUCUCUUGGAGUGAUGUGAAUGAAUUAAAAUUUUUAAGGUGUUCUGAGCCUUCCGUACAAAUAUCUCAUUGCAGAGUCAGUUUUGGGACAUUCUUUUUUGAAAAUAUGCAUACUUGUAGCUAACAAAUCACAUUCCUCAUUGUCUUCUACGUGUUUCAGAUCAGAUGCAUGGGCUUGCAGUUUCUGUUGAUAUCGGGCUUCUGUAGAAAGACUACAACUUGUUUAAACU
ensembl:lncRNA